UACGUAGGGGGCUAGCGUUGUCCGGAUUUAUUGGGCGUAAAGAGCGUGUAGGCGGCCAGGUAGGUCUGCUGUGAAAACUCGAGGCUCAACCUCGAGACGUCGGCGGAAACCAUCUGGCUAGAGUCCGGAAGAGGAGAGUGGAAUUCCUGGUGUAGCGGUGAAAUGCGCAGAUAUCAGGAAGAACACCCGUGGCGACGGCGGCUCUCUGGGACGGUACUGACGCUGAGACGCGAAAGCGUGGGGAGCGAACAGG
rnacentral:rRNA from 1 species